rnacentral:rRNA from 1 species
GUCCACGCCGUAAACGAUGGGUACUAGGUGUAGGGGGUAUAGACUCCCCCUGUGCCGUCGCAAACGCAAUAAGUACCCCGCCUGGGGGAGUACGGUCGCAAGACUAAAACUCAAAGGAAUUGACGGGGGCCCGCACAAGCAGCGGAGCAUGUGGUUUAAUUCGAGGCAACGCGAAGAACCUUACCUGGACUUGACAUCUCCUGAAUUACCCUUAAUCGGGGAAGCCCUUCGGGGCAGGAAGACAGGUGGUGCAUGGUUGUCGU